rnacentral:rRNA from 1 species
GACGAACGCUGGCGGCGUGCUUAACACAUGCAAGUCGAACGGAAAGGCCCUGCUUUUGUGGGGUGCUCGAGUGGCGAACGGGUGAGUAACACGUGAGUAACCUGCCCUUGACUUUGGGAUAACUUCAGGAAACUGGGGCUAAUACCGGAUAGGAGCUCCUGCUGCAUGGUGGGGGUUGGAAAGUUUCGGCGGUUGGGGAUGGGCUCGCGGCUUAUCAGCUUGUUGGUGGGGUAGUGGCUUACCAAGGCUUUGGCGGGUAGCCGGCCUGAGAGGGUGACCGGCCACAUUGGGACUGAGAUACGGCCCAGACUCCUACGGGAGGCAGCAGUGGGGAAUAUUGCACAAUGGGCGGAAGCCUGAUGCAGCAACGCCGCGUGCGGGAUGACGGCCUUCGGGUUGUAAACCGCUUUCGCCUGUGACGAAGCGUGAGUGACGGUAAUGGGUAAAGAAGCACCGGCUAACUACGUG